CUUCGCUGAGAGAGUGUGCUGCGGACAUCUUUAUGCCCACUUCUCCGACGCUCAAAGCCUCGAAUUAUGCAUUAAAGUGCUUCGCCGGAGAUUGCAAUUGACACGGCCGUUGGCGGCGUACCCGUGUCGCUGUCAUUCGUUUUGAUCCUUUCAAUUCGGUGAAAGCCCCCAAUAGUUUAGUCCACCGUGAAUGGCUCAACAGCCGUUGGAUUUCGAUUCCUAUUAUCUCCACCAACCAGAUGACCGGAGCCACAUCAACACACUUUUCGUAUCGGGCCUCCCUGACGACGUAAAGGCGCGUGAGAUUCAUAACCUCUUCCGCCGUCGUCCCGGCUUCGACUCUUGUCAGCUCAAGUAUACUGGCCGCGGCAACCAGGUUGUUGCAUUUGCUACCUUUUUCAAUCAUCAAACAGCAAUGGCGGCAUUGCAUGCAUUGAAUGGUACCAAAUUUGACCCUCAAGCUGGGUCUGUUCUACACAUUGAGCUUGCCAGGUCAAACUCAAGGAGAAAGCGUAAACCAGGUGGUGGAGCCUAUGUUGUUAUUGAUAAAAGAUCUAAAGGGGAUGCUGAUGCUCAGGCGUCAUCAAGUGAUGAUGGUGAUGGUGAAUCUGAAGAACCUCUUGGGAAUCACAGCAACCAUGGUGAUGUUCCAUCAGUGAAAAGUGGUGAGACUGCAGUUAGUUCUGAUGAUGCUUCACAUGUGUAUGAGCCGCAAGAAAAGGGUGCCGAAGGAGGACCAUGUUCCACUCUUUUCAUCGCAAAUCUAGGUCCAAACUGCACUGAAAGUGAAUUGAAGCAAGCUUUUUCUGUGUAUCCUGGAUUCAACAUGGUCAAAAUGCGUUCUAGAGGAGGAAUGCCUGUUGCUUUUGCUGAUUUUGGGUUUGGGAGAAACAAUUGGUCUGGAAUCUGGAUGCUUGAUUGCUACUUGUAAUAUGCUUAUUCCUGGCGUUGAACAUUGAUCAGAAUCAGCUAAUAGGCUGUCAUGGACCUCUUAAUAUAACAUAGGGCUCUUGUAGCUCGGAAGGCUCCAAAAUGUUAUAUUGCAUCAGGCAAGACUUGUGCAGAGUUAGGAAAUUGAGCAAGCUAUUAAGGUCAUGGAGGAGCUUCAGGGAAGUUCGUUGUCAUCAUCAGAUCGGGGUGGCAUGCACAUAGAAUUUGCAAGAUCCAAAAUGAGGAAGCGUUAGGCGAUCAGGCGGCAACAAAAAAAAAGACCUUUUUCCUUUUUAAAAAAAAAAUUAUAGUUUUUUUAGAAGGUCAUUAUGGAUAAUUGGGAUCCGCUGUCAUAUUUCUUAUAUUUAAGAUUCUAAGCGGAGCUAUAUGUAAACAUUGAAGAAGUGUGUGUCUGAAAUAUUUUUGGGGUGGACGUUACUGAAGUAAGACUAGUGACCAACUAAUUAAUGAAGAAACAUCUUAUCCGUUAUGUAUCUCCAA